rnacentral:rRNA from 1 species
UACGGAGGCCCCAAGCGUUGUUCGGAUUUAUUGGGCGUAAAGGGUGCGUAGGCGGCGUAGUAAGUCUGGUGUGAAAGGCGUGGGCUCAACCCGCGGACUGCAUUGGAUACUGCUAUGCUAGAGGACUGGAGAGGAGAAUGGAAUUCACGGUGGAGCAGUGAAAUGCGUAGAUAUCGUGAGGAAGGCCAGUGGUGAAGGCGAUUCUCUGGACAGUACCUGACGCUGAGGCACGGAGGUUGGGGAGCGAACAGG